GACGAACGCUGGCGGCGUGCCUAAUACAUGCAAGUAGAACGCUGACUACUUUAGCUUGCUAGAGUAGAAGGAGUUGCGAACGGGUGAGUAACGCGUAGGUAACCUGCCUACUAGCGGGGGAUAACUAUUGGAAACGAUAGCUAAUACCGCAUAACAGUGUUUAACACAUGUUAGAUGCUUGAAAGAUGCAAUUGCAUCACUAGUAGAUGGACCUGCGUUGUAUUAGCUAGUUGGUGGGGUAACGGCCCACCAAGGCGACGAUACAUAGCCGACCUGAGAGGGUGAUCGGCCACACUGGGACUGAGACACGGCCCAGACUCCUACGGGAGGCAGCAGUAGGGAAUCUUCGGCAAUGGGGGCAACCCUGACCGAGCAACGCCGCGUGAGUGAAGAAGGUUUUCGGAUCGUAAAGCUCUGUUGUAAGAGAAGAACGUGUGUGAGAGUGGAAAGUUCACACAGUGACGGUAACUUACCAGAAAGGGACGGCUAACUACGUGCCAGCAGCCGCCGUAAUAC
rnacentral:rRNA from 1 species